UACGAAGGGUCCAAGCGUUAUCCGGAUUUAUUGGGUUUAAAGGGUGCGUAGGCGGCCUAUUAAGUCAGUGGUGAAAGCCCGCAGCUUAACUGCGGAACUGCCAUUGAUACUGAUGGGCUUGAGUACAGUUGAGGUUGGCGGAAUGUGUCAUGUAGCGGUGAAAUGCUUAGAUAUGACACAGAACACCGAUUGCGAAGGCAGCUGGCUAAGCUGUUACUGACGCUGAGGCACUAAAGCGUGGGGAUCAAACAGG
rnacentral:rRNA from 1 species